UUAGCAGAUUGGUCAAUUAUACGCAGCGGAGGUGCGUGAAAAAUGGGAAUUUAGAGGUCCACAAAUUCUACAGCACCACACGAUGAUAAGAUUCGUCGAGCCUUCUCAUGCAACGUACUCUUGGACGUUAACGCAAGCGCUUACGCACUGCAAAAAAACAAAAGCUGGUGGCGAUAGCUGGGGACCUAUAUGAGCCUUGUGUCGGCUGCCAUGCACACUCAUUGAUUAUCAAUCAUCCCUUCUCAAUGGCGGAACUCAAUUCGGCCACUACCUCCACUCCACUCCUACGAAGCCCCCACUUCCCCAGUAGAAGAAGCCUUCCCCAGUUGCCAAUAAAUUGCUCAAAACUCAAAUCAAUUUUGCUCAUGCUGCGCAUGUCUGACUAAUAUAUUGAAUUAAUGUCCAUUAAUGGCCAAGAUUUCCAAGUUGUUCGUGCUAUUUAUUGAUAGAGAGAGGCCAGCUUAGUCUGCUUAGAUGAUCAUAUGAUAUUUAAGCAUCACAUUUCUCUCUCUGUCUCCACAAUUCAGCUUGAAAGACGUCACUGGAGGUGUCGGUGAAUAUGGAGAUGUGAGGCAGGUGUUUGAGUACUAGUUGUCAAGGAAGGAAAAGAUCAUUUGCCUGAUAAGCCCUGCGUAGGCUUAGGAGGCGUCGUUUAAAUAAUUGGCCUUUGGGGUUAUGUAAAGUCCAAAAUGGAGUUUUAUAAAAUGUGUAGCUAGCAAUCUUGGUCCAUUUGUCAAACAGGUAGAAGUCUUUGAGAAAAAUAUUGAAAUACCGAGACAGCGCAGUUGGAAUACACGUUAGCAAGGAAGAAAGAAGCAACUUCUAUCUUGUUUCUACUUUCUAGAAUAGAAAGAAAGAAAGAAACAAUUUCUUAUCUUGUUUCAAUAAUUCUAGUAUUCUAUCACGACCCUUAUCCCCUUAAUGUCCCAACUUUUCUGAAAGUCGUAUCUGUUUUUGUUUUUUUUAA